AGGUCGCUGUGGGCUGAUAGCCCUUCCCCCACACCCUGUGUCUUGAGUGCAGCUCCCCUCGCCUGCCCCACUCCUGCCCUCCCCAGCCCCCUCAGCUGCCUUAGACAGGCUGCUCUUUCCACCCACCCUCUCCUGGCGGGGCUCUCUAGUCUUUGCACUUCUGCUCUCAAAGAUGACGGGAACCAAAUGCCACUAUCACAAUGGCAGAGGCUGGCUGGCCCCGUAGGAAACACAUGUCAUGGUCUUGGAGGGGAGAAGGCACCGGACGUCCAUUUUGGUGGGGGAGUAUGUAAGCACCUAAAGCAUUUUUCUAUCCAAGCGGUCAAAAGGGCAGAGCUUCCUGUCUGAAUUUUAAAGCCGCUGUCGCCUUGAUUUUGUUCCUGGCUCAAUGGAGAUGAAUUCCAAG
rnacentral:lncRNA from 1 species